GACAGAGGGGGCAAGCGUUGUUCGGAAUUACUGGGCGUAAAGCGCACGUAGGCGGCUUUGUAAGUUAGAGGUGAAAGCCCAGGGCUCAACCCUGGAAUUGCCUUUAAGACUGCAUCGCUAGAAUUGUGGAGAGGUAAGUGGAAUUCCGAGUGUAGAGGUGAAAUUCGUAGAUAUUCGGAAGAACACCAGUGGCGAAGGCGACUUACUGGACACAUAUUGACGCUGAGGUGCGAAAGCGUGGGGAGCAAACAGG
rnacentral:rRNA from 1 species